rnacentral:pre_miRNA from 1 species
UUUGGUAGCGUUGGAGUGGGUAAUCUCAUGCGGUAACUGUGAGUGUGUGAAUUGUAAAAGCUCAUAUUACCUCGUGGGGUUUCCCACCCGUUACCAUUA